CCCUUAGAUGUUCUGGGCCGCACGCGCGCUACACUGACAGAGCCAGCGAGUCUACCACCUUUGCCGGAAGGCAUGGGUAAUCUUGUGAAACUCUGUCGUGAUGGGGAUAGAACAUUGCAAUUAUUGUUCUUCAACGAGGAAUACCUAGUAAGCGUGAUUCAUCAGAUCACGUUGAUUACGUCCCUGCCCUUUGUACACACCGCCCGUCGCUACUACCGAUUGAAUGGCUUAGUGAGGCCUCCGGAUUGGCUAUUGGGAGCUCGCGAGAGCACCCGACUGCCGAGAAGUUGUACGAACUUGGUCAUUUAGAGGAAGUAAAAGUCGUAACA
rnacentral:rRNA from 1 species